ACGUCUACAUUAGAUACCCGUGUAGUCCCAGCCCUAAACGAUGCGCGUUAGGUGUAUCGGUGACCACGAGUCACCGAGGUGCCGAAGGGAAACCGUGAAACGUGCCGCCUGGGAAGUACGGUCGCAAGGCUGAAACUUAAAGGAAUUGGCGGGGGAGCACCGCAACGGGAGGAGCGUGCGGUUCAAUUGGAUUCAACGCCGGACAACUCACCAGGAGCGACGGUUACAUGAAGGCCAGGCCGAUGACCUUGCCUGAUUUUCCG
rnacentral:rRNA from 1 species